GACGAACGCUGGCGGCGUGCUUAACACAUGCAAGUCGAACGGAAAGGCCCUGCUUUUGUGGGGUGCUCGAGUGGCGAACGGGUGAGUAACACGUGAGUAACCUGCCCUUGACUUUGGGAUAACUUCAGGAAACUGGGGCUAAUACCGGAUAGGAGCUCCUGCUGCAUGGUGGGGGUUGGAAAGUUUCGGCGGUUGGGGAUGGACUCGCGGCUUAUCAGCUUGUUGGUGGGGUAGUGGCUUACCGAGGCUUUGACGGGUAGCCGGCCUGAGAGGGUGACCGGCCACAUUGGGACUGAGAUACGGCCCAGACUCCUACGGGAGGCAGCAGUGGGGAAUAUUGCACAAUGGGCGGAAGCCUGAUGCAGCAACGCCGCGUGCGGGAUGACGGCCUUCGGGUUGUAAACCGCUUUCGCCUGUGACGAAGCGUGAGUGACGGUAAUGGGUAAAGAAGCACCGGCUAACUACGUG
rnacentral:rRNA from 1 species